CGUUUCGAUCGCGACACCAAGCAAUCAUCAUCAUCAUCAGGUGGCACAGCCACCUGAUGACGAGGUGGGAGGAUUGCCCCUUUCGUGACGGCAAUGUCGGGGCAACGUUGGUCUAACGUUGCCAUGUGGUUGGACCAACGUUGGACCAACGUUGGACCAACGUUGCCAUGUGGUUGGACCAACCUUGCCAUGUGGUUGGACCAACGUUGCCAUGUGGUUGGACCAACGUUCGAUGUUUACUGCCAACAACCACCACCAUCACUGUAGCUCACGGAACCUGCGCGCACCGCACCGCACCCGCCUGACGAUUGGUCAACGUGGCCCGCGCAUAAGCGCGUGGUGCACCUCCCCUACCUCGCGCGGUGCGGUGCCGCUCGGGGCAGAGAGCCACAGGCGACCGGGCGUGGUUGGUUGUGGCCUCCGUGUACCGUCCGUCCCGCUUCCGCUGUCCCGGCUUUCUCAAGCGCUGCUCGCAAGCGGCGCUUGGGCCCCAACACGGCUUAUUGAGGCUACGCGGGCGAGGGAUCUUCGUCUCUAUGCGCGUGUCGCUGUACUAGGAAGCGAAUGUGUAAUAGGCGACGUUUCGGUGCAAGGGCCCUUCUUCUCCCACGGCACGUGAGCCCGCCGCGGCUGGCGGAGCGGUCUCGCGCAGUCGCUGCGAAUGACCGAUCCGUGACGAUGAGCAAAUAAAAACAACCCCUGGGUUACGGCAA